GAUGAACGCUGGCGGCGUGCCUAAUACAUGCAAGUCGAGCGAACAGACGAGGAGCUUGCUCCUCUGACGUUAGCGGCGGACGGGUGAGUAACACGUGGAUAACCUACCUAUAAGACUGGGAUAACUUCGGGAAACCGGAGCUAAUACCGGAUAAUAUAUUGAACCGCAUGGUUCAAUAGUGAAAGACGGUUUUGCUGUCACUUAUAGAUGGAUCCGCGCCGCAUUAGCUAGUUGUUAAGGUAACGGCUUACCAAGGCAACGAUGCGUAGCCGACCUGAGAGGGUGAUCGGCCACACUGGAACUGAGACACGGUCCAGACUCCUACGGGAGGCAGCAGUAGGGAAUCUUACGCAAUGGGCGAAAGCUUGACGGAGCAACGCCGCGUGAGUGAUGAAGGUCUUCGGAUCGUAAAACUCUGUUAUUAGGGAAGAACAAAUGUGUAAGUAACUAUGCACGUCUUGACGGUACCUAAUCAGAAAGCCACGGCUAACUACGUG
rnacentral:rRNA from 1 species